rnacentral:lncRNA from 10 species
UUCUUCCACCUUGCCUCUGACACCUCAGGGCAGUGAAGGCUUUGAUAUGCGUGAGGAGGCAUCGGGUCAGCAGAUGGAGGAGUCCAGGCCCUGUUCUAGGCAAGAUAAGUACUCUGAGUGAAGUUUGAGGGAACCACCCACCACAGAUUGGAGGGACUCCCACAGAGUCCAACCCCUGAUUUCAGCCCUGUUAGAUCCCAGACAGGGAUCAUUUGAUUUAGUACCUUCUGAAUUCCCUCAGUGAGGACUCUGGGAGCUGAGAGUCAGCAGAUGGAGGCGUCCAGGCUCUGCCACACGUUAAGUUGACCCUUAGACAACUUGGGUUUGAACUGCAUGGAUCUACUUAUACAUGGAUUUUCUUCUGCCUCUGCCACCCAUGAAACAGCAAGACCAACCGUUCCUUUUCCAUUUUUCUCCUCAGCCUACUCAACACAAAGAAGAUGAAUAUGAAGACCUUUGUGAUGAUCCACUUCACUUAAUGAAUAGUUGUAGGCAAAGCCAGCUGCCAUUUCAUAAGAACACUCAGGCAACACUAUGGAGCUGUUCAUUGGCAAGGAAAUUAGUUCUCCUGCCGUAACCAGCAAGGAACUGAAGCUCUUGCUAACAGCUAUGUGAAUUAGUUAUUUUGGAAGCAGAUCCUCCAACUCCAGUCAAGCCAGCUGACAUACAGCACUAGCUGACAUCAUGAUUGCAACCAUGUGAGAAGAUUCGGGUCAGAGCCACCCAGGUAAUUAUAGGUUCGCAAGCAACCAUGAGAAACAAUACAGGGAGAUUUUGUGUAUCCUUUACCCAGUUUCCCCCAAUGGAAACAUCUUGAAAACCAUUAAUGCUACCUAUCAACCAGGAUAUUGACAUUAAUACAGUCAAGAUAUAGAACAACUUUG